rnacentral:rRNA from 1 species
CAACAGGGAUUGCCUUAGUAACGGCGAGUGAAGCGGCAACAGCUCAAAUUUGAAAGCUGGCCCUCUCAGGGUCCGCGUUGUAAUUUGUAGAGGAUGAUUCGGCGAGGGCUCCCGCCUAAGUCCCCUGGAACGGGGCGUCAUAGAGGGUGAGAAUCCCGUAUGCGGUGGGCUGCCUUAGCCAUGUGAAUCUCCUUCGACGAGUCGAGUUGUUUGGGAAUGCAGCUCUAAAUUGGAGGUAAAUUUCUUCUAAAGCUAAAUACUGGCCAGAGACCGAUAGCGCACAAGUAGAGUGAUCGAAAGAUGAAAAGCACUUUGGAAAGAGAGUUAAAAAGCACGUGAAAUUGUUGAAAGGGAAGCGCUUGCAACCAGACUUGUCCGCAGUUGCUCAGCCGGUCUCCUGACCGGCGUACUCUUCUGCGGCCAGGCCAGCAUCAGUUCGGGCGGUCGGAUAAAGACCCCGGGAAUGUGGCUCCCCUCGGGGAGUGUUAUAGCCCGGGGUGGAAUGCGGCCAGCCUGGACUGAGGAACUCGCUUCGGCAAGGAUGCUGGCGUAAUGGUUGUAAGCGGCCCGUCUUGAAACACGGACCAAGGAGUCUAACAUCUAUGCGAGUGUUUGGGUGUCAAACCCAUACGCGUAAUGAAAGUGAACGGAGGUGGGAACCCGCAAGGGCGCACCAUCGGCCGAUCCUGAUGUCUUCGGAUGGAUUUGAGCAAGAGCAUAGCUGUUGGGACCCGAAAGAUGGUGAACUAUGCCUGAAUAGGGUGAAGCCAGAGGAAACUCUGGUGGAGGCUCGCAGCGGUUCUGACGUGCAAAUCGAUCGUCAAAUUUGGGUAUAGGGGCGAAAGACUAAUCGAACCAUCUAGUAGCUGGUUCCUGCCU